UACGUAGGUGGCGAGCGUUGUCCGGAUUUAUUGGGUUUAAAGGGUGCGUAGGCGGCUCAUUAAGUCAGUGGUGAAAUACGGCAGCUUAACUGUCGAGGUGCCAUUGAUACUGGUGAGCUAGAGUACUGAUGAGGUAGGCGGAAUGGACGGUGUAGCGGUGAAAUGCUUAGAGAUCGUCCAGAACACCGAUAGCGAAGGCAGCUUACUAAGGAGUAACUGACGCUGAGGCACGAAAGUGUGGGGAUCAAACAGGAUUAGAUACCCCUGUAGU
rnacentral:rRNA from 1 species